GUUCUCUCUUUGGCUGCAUGUAUAGUAAAAUUUGAACAUUACAGAGAAGAUUAGCAUGGACUUGCACAAGGAUAACACACAAAUUUGUAAAAUUCAUUCAAAUUAA